rnacentral:rRNA from 1 species
UUAGAUACCCGGGUAGUCCUAGCCGUAAACGAUACUCGCUAGGUGUCGGCCACGGUGCGACCGUUGUCGGUGCCGUAGGGAAGCCGUGAAGCGAGCCACCCGGGAAGUACGGCCGCAGGGCUGAAACUUAAAGGAAUUGGCGGGGGAGCACCACGACGGGUGGAGCUUGCGGUUUAAUUGGAUUCAUCGCCGGAAAUCUUACCGGGACCGACAGCAAUAUGAAGGCCAGGCUGAAGACUUUGCCGGAUUAGCUGAGAGGAGGUGCAUGGC